rnacentral:tRNA from 1 species
GGGCAAUUAGCUCAGUUGGAUAGAGCGUCGGCCUCCGGAGCCGAAGGCCGGGCGUUCGAGCCGCCCAUUGCCCACCA